rnacentral:rRNA from 1 species
AGUGAACGCUGGCGGUAGGCCUAACACAUGCAAGUCGAACGGCAGCACAGUAAGAGCUUGCUCUUACGGGUGGCGAGUGGCGGACGGGUGAGGAAUACAUCGGAAUCUACUUUUUCGUGGGGGAUAACGUAGGGAAACUUACGCUAAUACCGCAUACGACCUACGGGUGAAAGCAGGGGAUCUUCGGACCUUGCGCGAUUGAAUGAGCCGAUGUCGGAUUAGCUAGUUGGCGGGGUAAAGGCCCACCAAGGCGACGAUCCGUAGCUGGCCUGAGAGGAUGAUCAGCCAACUGGGAACUGAGACACGGUCCAGAACCCUAGGGGAGGCAGGAGUGGGGAAUUUUGGAAAAUGGGGGAAAGCCUGAUCCAGCCAUCCCGGGGGGGUGAAGAAGGCCUUCGGGUUGUAAAGCCUUUUUGUUGGGAAAAAAAAGAAGCAGGUUAAUCCCCCGCUUUUCUGAGGGUACCAAAAGAAUAAGCCCCGGCUAAUUUCGU